rnacentral:rRNA from 1 species
UACGUAGGGUGCGAGCGUUGUCCGGAAUUAUUGGGCGUAAAGAGCUCGUAGGCGGUUUGUCGCGUCGGCCGUGAAAUCUCCACGCUUAACGUGGAGCGUGCGGUCGAUACGGGCAGGCUAGAGUUCGGUAGGGGAGACUGGAAUUCCUGGUGUAGCGGUGAAAUGCGCAGAUAUCAGGAGGAACACCGGUGGCGAAGGCGGGUCUCUGGGCCGAUACUGACGCUGAGGAGCGAAAGCGUGGGGGAGCGAACAGG